rnacentral:rRNA from 1 species
GACGUAGGGCGCGAGCGUUGUCCGGAUUUAUUGGGCGUAAAGAGCUCGUAGGCGGCUUGUCGCGUCGAAUGUGAAAACCCACAGCUCAACUGUGGGCUUGCAUUCGAUACGGGCAGGCUCGAGUUCGGUAGGGGAGACUGGAAUUCCUGGUGUAGCGGUGAAAUGCGCAGAUAUCAGGAGGAACACCGGUGGCGAAGGCGGGUCUCUGGGCCGAUACUGACGCUGGAGGAG